GACAGCAGCAGCCACGGGAAUACGUAGGCCCCGAGCGUUGUCCGGAUUUAUUGGGCGUAAAGCGAGCGCAGGCGGUUAGAUAAGUCUGAAGUUAAAGGCUGUGGCUUAACCAUAGUACGCUUUGGAAACUGUUUAACUUGAGUGCAAGAGGGGAGAGUGGAAUUCCAUGUGUAGCGGUGAAAUGCGUAGAUAUAUGGAGGAACACCGGUGGCGAAAGCGGCUCUCUGGCUUGUAACUGACGCUGAGGCUCGAAAGCGUGGGGAGCAAACAGGAUUAGAUACCCGCGUAGUCCCUGUCUCUUAUACA
rnacentral:rRNA from 1 species